UACGGGGGGUGCAAGCGUUAAUCGGAAUCACUGGGCGUAAAGGGUGCGUAGGCGGUGCAUUAGGUCUGUCGUGAAAUCCCCGGGCUCAACCUGGGAAUGGCGGUGGAAACCGGUGUACUAGAGUAUGGGAGAGGGUGGUGGAAUUCCAGGUGUAGCGGUGAAAUGCGUAGAGAUCUGGAGGAACAUCAGUGGCGAAGGCGGCCACCUGGCCCAAUACUGACGCUGAGGCACGAAAGCGUGGGGAGCAAACAGG
rnacentral:rRNA from 1 species